rnacentral:rRNA from 1 species
UACGAAGGGUCCAAGCGUUAUCCGGAUUUAUUGGGUUUAAAGGGUGCGUAGGCGGGUUGUUAAGUCAGUGGUGAAAUCUUGCAGCUUAACUGUAAAAUUGCCAUUGAUACUGACGAUCUUGAGUACACUUGAAGUGGGCGGAAUAUGUCAUGUAGAGGUGAAAUUCUUAGAGAUGACAUAGAACACCGAUGCGAAGGCAGCUCACUAA